rnacentral:rRNA from 1 species
ACGCUGGCGGCGUGCCUAACACAUGCAAGUCGAACGGAGAUGUUGAUUUCGGUUGACGUCUUAGUGGCGAACGGGUGAGUAACGCGUGAACAAUCUGACCUUAAGAGGGGAUAACAACGAGAAAUCGUUGCUAAUACCGCAUAAGACCACAAUGCCGCAUGGCGAAGGGGUCAAAGGAGCAAUCCGCUUAAGGAGGGGUUCGCGUCCCAUUAGGUAGUAGGUGAGGUAACGGCUCACCUAGCCGACGAUGGGUAGCCGAGCUGAGAGGCUGAUCGGCCACACUGGAACUGAGACACGGUCCAGACUCCUACGGGAGGCAGCAGUGGGGAAUAUUGGGCAAUGGGCGCAAGCCUGACCCAGCAACGCCGCGUGAGGGAAGAAGGUUUUCGGAUUGUAAACCUCUGUCGCAGAUGACGAAACAAAUGACGGUAAUCUGUGAGGAAGCCCCGGCUAACUACGUG